rnacentral:tRNA from 2 species
UCUUCGAUAGCUUAGUUGGUAGAGCGGGGGACUGUAGAUUUAUAACUAUGUGAUCCCUAGGUCGCUGGUUCGAAUCCGGCUCGAAGGA